GCCGUGGGCACCGGGUGCCCGGUGGAGCCGUGAGGAUCCGAGGAUGCGAGCCCGACCCUGCGAGCGCUGGCCGGGAUCCAGCGGAGCGCGCAGAUGGCGAGCGCGCCCCCGCGAACGCGCGGCCCCGGCCGGGGCGGAACUUGUUCUUCUUCCUCUCUGGCUCGUGGCUCUCAAGAGAUCCAUCUGCAGGAGAGGGAGCAGACACAGAGCAGGCUGAGACCCACAGCCCCAGUGAGCCCCAGUGCUGCCCUGGAAGAGGAGAAAGGGCCCUUACCCAACCUCUGUAUCAUGUCUGCCAACAUCUGGUCUUCCUCUUUCUCUCUGCAAUGGAACAGCAUGGCAUUAGGAAACGUUCCUGUGCUCAUGACAAGCUGGUAGAUACCAAAGCCCAUGAAAAUACUGCUCUUAUUCCCCAGUAAGAAAUGACCAACCUCCACAGCACACCCUGAGAAGCUGCAGGAAAAAACCCAACAGUGAGAGUCUUAGACAUGAGCAAAUUCCAUCUGGUUCCCUUGAAAGCAAAGGCCUGUGUGGGGAUUUCCAGACCUUCUCCCAGCUGGCAGAUGAAUCAUCAGAGUUCAUGGAGUGGUGAGACACCAGCACACCCCAGGAGAUGAGUGAAGCUGAGACACAGCAGCCUGGGGUGCUACAGAGGAGCUCACUGCCAUCAGGGACAGGCACACUGCUGUCACCACCUUGUCCUGGCAGCACCAGAAUCCACAAGCAGGAGCUGCUGCUCUGAGGUCAACAAAUGGAGGCUGUUCUCAGCAUCAGGAGGCACAAAUCCAGCUACUUGACAGUUUUCCUUUGAACUUGGGAAGGAUCCAGCUUUUGGCCACAGUUGUUCUUCCACUUGCUGCAGCAGACAUUCCUGACUUCAUGUUCCCAGAUUGCUCCUGCAUCUCCCAUACUGCCUGCAGCCUCCCCAUCUCCUCCCCUCCCCUGCAUUCCACAUCUCCCAGCCCAGUUCUCACAGCAGCUUUAGCCUGAGAGAGAACAGGGCUGUGGUCCUGACCUUUUCCCAACAGCUGCCAAGGAUGCAAAGACAGCAGCAUUCAGGAC
rnacentral:lncRNA from 1 species